AGAGUUUGAUCCUGGCUCAGAACAAACGCUGGCGGCGUGUCUUAAGCAUGCAAGUUGAGCGGCAAGGAGGAGAGAUCCUCCCUAGAGCAGCGGACUGGUGAGUAACGCGUGGGUAAUCUAUCUUAGGCAUGGGGAUAGUCACUAGAAAUAGUGGGUAAUACCGAAUAAGUUCCAUAAGGGGAGGACUUAUGGAAGAAAGGUGCUACGGCACUGGCCUUAGGUGAGCUCGCGUCCCAUUAGCUAGUUGGUGAGGUAAAGGCCCACCAAGGCGAUGAUGGGUAGCCGGCCUGAGAGGGUGUACGGCCACACUGGGACUGAGAUACGGCCCAGACUCCUACGGGAGGCAGCAGCUAAGAAUAUUCCGCAAUGGACGGAAGUCUGACGGAGCGACGCCGCGUGGAUGAAGAAGGCCGAAAGGUUGUAAAGUUCUUUUGCUAGGGGAGAAUAAGUGUGGGAGGGAAUGCCUGCACGAUGACAAGGACUAGCGAAUAAGUCCCGGCCAACUACGUGCCAGCAGCCGCGGUAACACGUAGGGGGCGAGCGUUGUUCGGAAUUACUGGGCGUAAAGGGCAUGUAGGCGGCUUGGUAAGCCUGGCGUGAAAGUCUGCAGCUUAACUGUAGGGAUGCGUUGGGAACUGCUUAGCUUGAGUUACGGAGAGGGAGCUGGAAUUCCUGGUGUAGGGGUGGAAUCUGUAGAUAUCAGGAAGAACACCGAUGGCGAAGGCAAGCUUCUGGCCGACAACUGACGCUGAGGUGCGAAAGUGUGGGGAUCAAGCAGGAUUAGAUACCCUGGUAGUCCACACAGUAAACGAUGUGCACGAGGUGCUGGGGCGGUAGUUUCAGUGCCGGAGCGAACGCGGUAAGUGCACCGCCUGGGGAGUAUGCUCGCAAGGGUGAAACUCAAAGGAAUUGACGGGGGCCCGCACAAGCGGUGGAGCAUGUGGUUUAAUUCGAUGUACACGAGGAACCUUACCUGGGUUUGACAUACGGAGGGAAGUGGCAGAGAUGUCACUGCGUAGAGAUACGGCUCCGUACAGGUGCUGCAUGGCUGUCGUCAGCUCGUGCCGUGAGGUGUUGGGUUAAGUCCCGCAACGAGCGCAACCCCUACUGUCAGUUACUAACAGGUUAAGCUGAGGACUCUGGCGGAACUGCCGGUGACAAACCGGAGGAAGGUGGGGAUGACGUCAAGUCG
rnacentral:rRNA from 1 species